rnacentral:rRNA from 1 species
CUCCUGGAAACGGGUGGUAAUGCCGGAUGUUCCACAUGAGCGCAUGCGAGUGUGGGAAAGGCUUUUUGCGGCAUGGGAUGGGGUCGCGUCCUAUCAGCUUGUUGGUGGGGUAACGGCCUACCAAGGCGUUGACGGGUAGCCGGCCUGAGAGGGCGACCGGCCACAUUGGGACUGAGAUACGGCCCAGACUCCUACGGGAGGCAGCAGUGGGGAAUAUUGCACAAUGGGCGCAAGCCUGAUGCAGCGACGCCGCGUGCGGGAUGGAGGCCUUCGGGUUGUAAACCGCUUUUGUUCAAGGGCAAGGCACGGUUUCGGCCGUGUUGAGUGGAUUGUUCGAAUAAGCACCGGCUAACUACGUGCCAGCAGCCGCGGUAAUACGUAGGGUGCAAGCGUUAUCCGGAUUUAUUGGGCGUAAAGGGCUCGUAGGCGGUUCGUCGCGUCCGGUGUGAAAGUCCAUCGCUUAACGGUGGAUCCGCGCCGGGUACGGGCGGGCUUGAGUGCGGUAGGGGAGACUGGAAUUCCCGGUGUAACGGUGGAAUGCGUAGAUAUCCGGGAAAAAACACCC